rnacentral:rRNA from 1 species
CGAACGGGUGAGUAACGCGUGAGGAACCUGCCUCAAAGAGGGGGACAACAGUUGGAAACGACUGCUAAUACCGCAUAAGCCCACGGGUCGGCAUCGACCUGAGGGGAAAGGAGCAAUCCGCUUUGAGAUGGCCUCGCGUCCGAUUAGCUAGUUGGUGAGGUAAUGGCCCACCAAGGCGACGAUCGGUAGCCGGACUGAGAGGUUGAACGGCCACAUUGGGACUGAGACACGGCCCAG